GACGAACGCUGGCGGCGUGCCUAAUACAUGCAAGUAGAACGCACAGUUUAUACCGUAGCUUGCUACACCAUAGACUGUGAGUUGCGAACGGGUGAGUAACGCGUAGGUAACCUGCCUGGUAGCGGGGGAUAACUAUUGGAAACGAUAGCUAAUACCGCAUAAUAUUAAUUAUUGCAUGAUAAUUAAUUGAAAGGUGCAAUUGCACCACUACCAGAUGGACCUGCGUUGUAUUAGCUAGUAGGUGAGGUAACGGCUCACCUAGGCGACGAUACAUAGCCGACCUGAGAGGAUGGUCAGCCACACUGGGACUGAGACACGCCCCAUAGUCCUACGGGAGGCAGCAGUAGGGAAUCUGCAGCAAUGGACGAAAGUCUGACCGAGAAACGCCGCGGGAGUGAAGAAGGAUUUCGGAUCGUAAAGCUCGGUUGUAAGAGAGGAACGGGUGUGAGAGUGGAAAGUUCACACUGUGACGGUAUCUGACCAGAAAGGGACGGCUAACUACGUG
rnacentral:rRNA from 1 species